rnacentral:rRNA from 1 species
AUGAACGCUAGCGGCAGGCCUAACACAUGCAAGUCGAGGGGCAGCACAGGUAGCAAUACUGGGUGGCGACCGGCGGAUGGGUGCGUAACGCGUAUGCAACCUACCAUUGAUUGGGGCAUAGCCCGAGAAAUUCGGAUUAAUACUCCAUAAUAUUCAUCAAAGGCAUCUUUUAUGAAUUAAAGCUUUUGCGAUCAAUGAUGGGCAUGCGUGACAUUAGUUAGUUGGUGAGGUAACGGCUCACCAAAACGAUGAUGUCUAGGGGUUCUGAGAGGAUUAUCCCCCACACUGGUACUGAGACACGGACCAGACUCCUACGGGAGGCAGCAGUGAGGAAUAUUGGUCAAUGGACGCAAGUCUGAACCAGCCAUGCCGCGUGCAGGAUGACGGCCCUAUGGGUUGUAAACUGCUUUUCCACGGGAAGAACCCUCCGACGUGUCGGAGACUGACGGUACCGUGGGAAUAAGCAUCGGCUAACUCCGUG